rnacentral:rRNA from 1 species
UUUGGUGGCGAUAGCGGAGGGGUUCCACACGUACCCAUCCCGAACACGACCGUUAAGCCCUCCAGCGCCGAUGGUACUUGGACCG